CUCUCACUUACAGACGCAUACACACUAGCUAACAGACACACACAUUUACUGACAGAGACACACUCAGCGACAGACAUACAUACUCACUUACAAAACAUACACUCUCAUUGACAAACACACACUCACUAACAGACAUCAAACAGACUCACUAACACACACACACACACACUAAGUAAGACACACACAGUAACACACUCACUGACACUCACUAGCAGACACACACACUAACACUCAC